UACAGAGGUCCCAAGCGUUGUUCGGAUUCACUGGGCGUAAAGGGUGCGUAGGCGGUCGGGUAAGUCUGAUGUGAAAUCUCAGAGCUCAACUCUGAAACUGCAUUCGAUACUGCCGUGCUUGAGGACUGGAGAGGAGACUGGAAUUUACGGUGUAGCGGUGAAAUGCGUAGAUAUCGUAAGGAAGACCAGUGGCGAAGGCGGGUCUCUGGACAGUUCCUGACGCUGAGGCACGAAGGCCAGGGGAGCAAACGGG
rnacentral:rRNA from 1 species